CGUGCCUAAUACAUGCAAGUCGAACGCUUCUUUUUCCACCGGAGCUUGCUCCACCGGAAAAAGAGGAGUGGCGAACGGGUGAGUAACACGUGGGUAACCUGCCCAUCAGAAGGGGAUAACACUUGGAAACAGGUGCUAAUACCGUAUAACAAUCGAAACCGCAUGGUUUUGAUUUGAAAGGCGCUUUCGGGUGUCGCUGAUGGAUGGACCCGCGGUGCAUUAGCUAGUUGGUGAGGUAACGGCUCACCAAGGCGACGAUGCAUAGCCGACCUGAGAGGGUGAUCGGCCACAUUGGGACUGAGACACGGCCCAAACUCCUACGGGAGGCAGCAGUAGGGAAUCUUCGGCAAUGGACGAAAGUCUGACCGAGCAACGCCGCGUGAGUGAAGAAGGUUUUCGGAUCGUAAAACUCUGUUGUUAGAGAAGAACAAGGAUGAGAGUAACUGUUCAUCCCUUGACGGUAUCUAACCAGAAAGCCACGGCUAACUACGUGCCAGCAGCCGCGGUAAUACGUAGGUGGCAAGCGUUGUCCGGAUUUAUUGGGCGUAAAGCGAGCGCAGGCGGUUUCUUAAGUCUGAUGUGAAAGCCCCCGGCUCAACCGGGGAGGGUCAUUGGAAACUGGGAGACUUGAGUGCAGAAGAGGAGAGUGGAAUUCCAUGUGUAGCGGUGAAAUGCGUAGAUAUAUGGAGGAACACCAGUGGCGAAGGCGGCUCUCUGGUCUGUAACUGACGCUGAGGCUCGAAAGCGUGGGGAGCAAACAGGAUUAGAUACCCUGGUAGUCCACGCCGUAAACGAUGAGUGCUAAGUGUUGGAGGGUUUCCGCCCUUCAGUGCUGCAGCUAACGCAUUAAGCACUCCGCCUGGGGAGUACGACCGCAAGGUUGAAACUCAAAGGAAUUGACGGGGGCCCGCACAAGCGGUGGAGCAUGUGGUUUAAUUCGAAGCAACGCGAAGAACCUUACCAGGUCUUGACAUCCUUUGACCACUCUAGGGAUAG
rnacentral:rRNA from 1 species